GAACGAACGCUGGCGGCAGGCCUAACACAUGCAAGUCGAACGCCGUAGCAAUACGGAGUGGCAGACGGGUGAGUAACACGUGGGAACGUACCUUUCGGUUCGGAAUAACUCAGGGAAACUUGAGCUAAUACCGGAUACGUGCGAGAGCAGAAAGAUUUAUCGCCGAAAGAUCGGCCCGCGUCCGAUUAGCUAGUUGGUGAGGUAAUGGCUCACCAAGGCGACGAUCGGUAGCUGGUCUGAGAGGAUGAUCAGCCACACUGGGACUGAGACACGGUCCAGACUCCUACGGGAGGCAGCAGUGGGGAAUAUUGGACAAUGGGCGAAAGCCUGAUCCAGCCAUGCCGCGUGAGUGAUGAAGGCCUUAGGGUUGUAAAGCUCUUUCGCCAGGGACGAUAAUGACGGUACCUGGAUAAGAAGCCCCGGCUAACUUUGUG
rnacentral:rRNA from 1 species